ACUUCCGAAGCAAACUCCCUCCGAUCGGCCACCAUCACCGAACAUCAUCACCACCACCACCUUUCUUUUUCCUCCAUUUUUGUUGGUAAACUUCUUACCAUUUUUCUUUUAGUUUUGUUUGUUUCAUAUUUAAUAAAUGAUUUAUUGGUGGUAUGGUUGUUGUUUUUGAAUGAAAUUGAUGAUGAUAUUGUUAUGGGUUUAGUAAAUGAUGAAAUUGAUGAUAAUGGUUUUGUUGUUGAUUUAAUUUGUGAAGAUGAUGGUGAAAUUGUUGUUGUAAUGAGGUUGAAGAUGAAGGAUAUUUUAUUGUGA